rnacentral:rRNA from 1 species
CUGCCUGGUAGUGGGGGAUAACGUCCGGAAACGGACGCUAAUACCGCAUACGUCCUACGGGAGAAAGCAGGGGACCUUCGGGCCUUGCGCUAUCAGAUGAGCCUAGGUCGGAUUAGCUAGUUGGUGGGGUAAUGGCUCACCAAGGCGACGAUCCGUAACUGGUCUGAGAGGAUGAUCAGUCACACUGGAACUGAGACACGGUCCAGACUCCUACGGGAGGCAGCAGUGGGGAAUAUUGGACAAUGGGCGAAAGCCUGAUCCAGCCAUGCCGCGUGUGUGAAGAAGGUCUUCGGAUUGUAAAGCACUUUAAGUUGGGAGGAAGGGCAGUAAAUUAAUACUUUGCUGUUUUGACGUUACCGACAGAAUAAGCACCGGCUAACUCUGUGCCAGCAGCCGCGGUAAUACAGAGGGUGCAAGCGUUAAUCGGAAUUACUGGGCGUAAAGCGCGCGUAGGUGGUUCGUUAAGUUGGAUGUGAAAUCCCCGGGCUCAACCUGGGAACUGCAUUCAAAACUGACGAGCUAGAGUAUUGGUAGAGGGUGGUGGAAUUUCCUGUGUAGCGGUGAAAUGCGUA